GAUCGAGUUUGAUCCUGGCUCAGAUUUAACGCUGGCGGCAUGCCUUACACAUGCAAGUCGAACGGCAGCACGGGUGCUUGCACCUGGUGCGAGUGGCGGAACGGGUGAGUAAUACAUCGGAACGUACCUUAUCGUGGGGAUAACGCAGCGAAAGUUGCGCUAAUACCGCAUACGCCCUGAGGGGGAAAGCGGGGGACCGUAAGGCCUCGCGCGAUUAGAGCGGCCGAUGUCUGAUUAGCUUGUUGGUGAGGUAAAAGCUCACCAAGGCGAUGAUCAGUAGCUGGUCUGAGAGGACGAU
rnacentral:rRNA from 1 species